rnacentral:rRNA from 1 species
GACGAACGCUGGCGGCGUGCUUAACACAUGCAAGUCGAACGGUGAAGCGCCUUCCUUUUUGGUGGGUGUGGAUGAGUGGCGAACGGGUGAGUAACACGUGAGUAACCUGCCCCCUUCUUCUGGAUAACCGCAUGAAAGUGUGGCUAAUACGGGAUAUUCUGGGUCUGUCGCAUGAUGGGUCUGGGAAAGAUAUUGUUUCGGUGGGGGAUGGGCUCGCGGCCUAUCAGCUUGUUGGUGGGGUGAUGGCCUACCAAGGCGGUGACGGGUAGCCGGCCUGAGAGGGUGGCGGGCCACAUGGGGACAGAGACGCGGCCAGGCCUCAGCGGGGGGCCGGCGGGGGGGAAUAGGGCAAAAGGGGGGAGGGUGUGAUGCGGCGCCCCCGGGUGGGGGAGGGGGCCCUGGGGGUUGGGACCCUUUUCCGCAGGUGAAGCAGGCCGGCCUCUUUUGUGGGUGGGUUGAGGGUAGCUGAAAAAGAGGCGCCGGCUAACUCCGUC